GAAACGGUCAUAGUACUACACUGCGUGAGCGGACGAAACAAAAACACCUAAAUGUGGAAUAUAUAACAUAUAGUCGACAAGAGAAAUCUACGAAAAACAAACAAAACUUUCAACAACGGAUCUCUUGGUUCUCGCAUCGAUGAAGAGCGCAGCGAAAUGCGAUACCUAGUGUGAAUUGCAGCCAUCGUGAAUCAUCGAGUUCUUGAACGCACAUUGCGCCCCUCGGCAUUCCGGGGGGCAUGCCUGUUUGAGCGUCGUUUCCAUCUUGCGCGUGCGCAGAGUUGGGGGAGCGGAGCGGACGACGUGUAAAGAGCGUCGGAGCUGCGACUCGCCUGAAAGGGAGCGAAGCUGGCCGAGCGAACUAGACUUUUUUCAGGGACGCUUGGCGGCCGAGAGCGAGUGUUGCGAGACAACAAAAAGCUCGACCUCAAAUCAGGUAGGAAUACCCGCUGAACUUAAGCAUAUCA
rnacentral:rRNA from 1 species